UUAUUUAACGGCCGCGGUACUUUGACCGUGCAAAGGUAGCAUAAUCAUUUGCCUUAUAAUUGAAGGCUUGUAUGAAGGGUUUGACAAGAAUUAAUCUGUCUCUUAUGAAUUAAAAUGAAAUUGACUUUUAGGUGUAAAGGCCUAAAUAUUACUAAUAGACAAGAAGACCCUAUUGAGCUUUAAAGAUUUGUAGAUAGUGUAGAUUAUAUAUGAGUGAAAUUAUAAGCUGUUGGGAUUUUUAGUUGGGGCGACUAUUGGAACAGGUGAAGCUUCCAGAAUUUUGUAAUAUUUAAUAUUAAUUUAUUUAAAUUGGAUCCAAAAUAUUUUGAUUAAUAGAAUAAGUUACCAUAGGGAUAACAGCAUAAUCUAUCUUAAGAGCUCUAAUCGAAAGAAAGGUUUGUGACCUCGAUGUUGGAUUAAAAUAUCCUAAGGGUGUAGAAGUUCUUGAGGGUUGGUCUGUUCG
rnacentral:rRNA from 1 species